rnacentral:SRP_RNA from 2 species
GCCAGGCAUGGUGGCGGGCGCCUGUAGUCCCAGCUACUCAGGAGGCUGAGACAGGAGAAUUGCUUGAGCCCGGGAGGCGGAGGUUGCAGUGAGCCGAAAUCGUGCCACUGCACUCCAGCCUGGGCAACAGAGCGAGACUCUGUCUCAA